rnacentral:rRNA from 1 species
GAUGAACGCUAGCGGGAGGCUUAACACAUGCAAGUCGAGGGGCAUCACGAGGUAGCAAUACUUUGGUGGCGACCGGCGCACGGGUGAGUAACGCGUAUGCAACCUACCCUGUACAGGAGGAUAGCCCGGAGAAAUUCGGAUUAAUACCCCAUAAUGAUAUUUUAUGGCAUCAUAAAAUAUUUAAAGCUCAGGCGGUACGGGAUGGGCAUGCGUAACAUUAGCUAGUUGGUAGGGUAAUGGCCUACCAAGGCGACGAUGUUUAGGGGUCCUGAGAGGGUGAUCCCCCACACUGGUACUGAGACACGGACCAGACUCCUACGGGAGGCAGCAGUGAGGAAUAUUGGUCAAUGGGCGCGAGCCUGAACCAGCCAUCCCGCGUGAAGGAAGACUGCCCUAUGGGUUGUAAACUUCUUUUCCAGGGGAAUAAAAUCUCGAACGAGUUCGGGACUGAAGGUACCCUGGGAAUAAGCAUCGGCUAACUCCGUGCCAGCCGCCGCGGUAAAAC